UCUGGUGUCCAGCAGCCGCGGUAAUUCCAGCUCCAAUAGCGUAUAUUAAAGUGUUGCAGUUAAAAGCUCGUAGUUGAAUUUCGAGACCGGCUUACUGGUCGUGCUUUUGUGCGUUACUGGUAUAAUCGGUUUCUCCUUUCUGACGAACUUUAAUGCCAUUAAUUUGGUGUUUUAGGGAAUCAGGACUGUUACUUUGAAAAAUUAGAGUGUUUAAAGCAGGCUCACGCUUGAAUACAUUAGCAUGGAAUAACGGAAUAGGACGUUUGAUUCUAUUUUGUUGGUUUCUAGGGAUCGACGUAAUGAUUAAUAGGGAUAGUUGGGGGCAUUAGUAUUCAAUUGUCAGAGGUGAAAUUCUUGGAUUUAUUGAGGACUAACUACUGCGAAAGCAUUUGCCAAGGAUGUUUUCAUUAAUCAAGAACGAAAGUUAGGGGAUCGAAGACGAUCAGAUACCGUCGUAGUCUUAACCAUAAACUAUGCCGACUAGGGAUCGGAUGAUGUUAAUUUUUUAAUGACUCAUUCGGCGCCUUACG
rnacentral:rRNA from 1 species